AAAAGCAUGUUCAUAAAUGCUUUGAUGGGAGAAAUCAACACUGGUCCUUUAACCGGUCGUCUGUGUACCCUUUGAUUGACACGUUUGUCUUAUUUGUAUGGCCGCAAACGGCCUUGCGUCCCAUUUUUCACUACAUUUAUUCGGGAUAAAUACUUCGAGGGCAUCGUUUAAUCCAAUUUUAGGCAGGGCUGCGGGGCUAGGUCUAGGAAAGCGGCAGCCAGGCGGCCGUGGGCUCCCGCGCACGGGACGGCAGCUCACGCCGCCAUCGGGGCCAACAUCGAAGAACGCUAUCUGGAUUGGGUACGACAGCUGACGGUGAUAGAUAGCUGGGUCCAGGAUAGGCCUCCUGAGGAGUUAUGUGCUGGCCCGGGACAAGGAGCCAGGUGCCUCCUCCUCGGACCCUCCACCUGUCGCUAAAGUGCUUGAGCGCUGAGGUCGACUCUCCCUGUACUGCACGUACAGGGACGCCCCACCAGCAGUGGUCCCCUCUUCCUGUCUCUCCUCCUCUCAGCAACCACUUCAACAUUGACUUCCCCUCCACAAGGACCGGGACCUUGCCGUGGUGUGGAGGUUUCAUACAAACACCGGUCCACCCACCCUGCAACAACUCUUCUACAGGACAGUGACACUACGUUUCUUUAAAAAAAAAAAAAAAAAAAAACAUUCUAUGUCUGCUGUGAUGUGAUGUAUGUGGUUUAAAAAAAAAAAAAACAUCCACACCACUGUGUUCUGCAUUCUGCAUCUCUACACUGAACACUUAUGCCGUGUGUCUGCUCUGAUGUUUUUAUUUUUUAUUAUUGUUUUGUAGUUUAAAAUAAACAAUCUAUAUGUAUAAUAUAUAGAAUAUAUAACACACUGUCAUGUCUAUGUGCUGUUAUGUUCUAUGCACUGACAAGUUGUAUAGACCUACUAUGUAACAUUUAGCCUAGGCCUACGUUUCAACAAGAACGCCCAGACCAAUACUGUUGACAGGAGCAUCAAUUAUCUAUUUCUACAGUAAGGAAUUUCCGUUGCCUACCAUAGGAGUUCAUCAAGUCUGAAGUAGCACGUCAAUGCAAAACAAUCCAUAGUUAGGCCUACGAGUUAUGAUGACAAUAAUGCUAGCCGCCAGCCUUGUCAAAGUUAACUUUGCUAACGUUUUGCUGAGCCUACCCUAUUGACUACAUUUGUUGCACACUUAAAAAAAUAUCUUCAAAAGUAUUUAGAAGGUGGUUUCAUUUAUUUCCAUUCCAAUAACUUCACACAUUACAUUUUCGUUUGCACUUGUAGGCUAUGCUGCAUUCAUUUCUUUGUUCCUACUAUUUAGUUUAUUUUCUGGAACUUCUAUUUCUCAGAGCCGUGUACGGCUCUGCUAUUUCUUAUCCUGGACUGCCACCUGCUGGAUAGAAAAAGCAACAGGUCAUUAUGUGAACAAAAAUCUACACGUUUGAAUGGCCAAAAAAAAGAUAAAUCAUAGGUGGUAUUCCCCACAUUACCAUGGUGUUAGGGUAGCCUACUCUGCACAUGUCAUUGACGGUGACUGCUAACUUCAGUCAUUUGCAUUUAUCAUGCUGAAAAUCUGACACCAGGCACUAUACUGAUGCCUGACCCAAAGGGACAAUUAUAAUAAAAGAGAGGAGUUAUGUGCUGGCCCGGGACAAGGAGCCAGGUGCCUCCUCCUCGGACCCUCCACCUGUCGCUAAAGUGCUUGAGCGCUGAGGUCGACUCUCCCUGUACUGCACGUACAGGGACGCCCCACCAGCAGUGGUCCCCUCUUCCUGUCUCUCCUCCUCUCAGCAACCACUUCAACAUUGACUUCCCCUCCACAAGGACCGGGACCUUGCCGUGGUGUGGAGGUUUCAUACAAACACCGGUCCACCCACCCUGCAACAACUCUUCUACAGGACAGUGACACUACGUUUCUUUAAAAAAAAAAAAAAAAAAAAACAUUCUAUGUCUGCUGUGAUGUGAUGUAUGUGGUUUAAAAAAAAAAAAAACCAUCCACACCACUGUGUUCUGCAUUCUGCAUCUCUACACUGAACACUUAUGCCGUGUGUCUGCUCUGAUGUUUUUAUUUUUUAUUAUUGUUUUGUAGUUUAAAAUAAACAAUCUAUAUGUAUAAUAUAUAGAAUAUAUAACACACUGUCAUGUCUAUGUGCUGUUAUGUUCUAUGCACUGACAAGUUGUAUAGACCUACUAUGUAACAUUUAGCCUAGGCCUACGUUUCAACAAGAACGCCCAGACCAAUACUGUUGACAGGAGCAUCAAUUAUCUAUUUCUACAGUAAGGAAUUUCCGUUGCCUACCAUAGGAGUUCAUCAAGUCUGAAGUAGCACGUCAAUGCAAAACAAUCCAUAGUUAGGCCUACGAGUUAUGAUGACAAUAAUGCUAGCCGCCAGCCUUGUCAAAGUUAACUUUGCUAACGUUUUGCUGAGCCUACCCUAUUGACUACAUUUGUUGCACACUUAAAAAAAUAUCUUCAAAAGUAUUUAGAAGGUGGUUUCAUUUAUUUCCAUUCCAAUAACUUCACACAUUACAUUUUCGUUUGCACUUGUAGGCUAUGCUGCAUUCAUUUCUUUGUUCCUACUAUUUAGUUUAUUUUCUGGAACUUCUAUUUCUCAGAGCCGUGUACGGCUCUGCUAUUUCUUAUCCUGGACUGCCACCUGCUGGAUAGAAAAAGCAACAGGUCAUUAUGUGAACAAAAAUCUACACGUUUGAAUGGCCAAAAAAAAGAUAAAUCAUAGGUGGUAUUCCCCACAUUACCAUGGUGUUAGGGUAGCCUACUCUGCACAUGUCAUUGACGGUGACUGCUAACUUCAGUCAUUUGCAUUUAUCAUGCUGAAAAUCUGACACCAGGCACUAUACUGAUGCCUGACCCAAAGGGACAAUUAUAAUAAAAGAGAGGAGUUAUGUGCUGGCCCGGGACAAGGAGCCAGGUGCCUCCUCCUCGGACCCUCCACCUGUCGCUAAAGUGCUUGAGCGCUGAGGUCGACUCUCCCUGUACUGCACGUACAGGGACGCCCCACCAGCAGUGGUCCCCUCUUCCUGUCUCUCCUCUCAGCAACCACUUCA